rnacentral:tRNA from 1 species
AGCGGGGUGGGGAAGCCAGGGAUCCCGCCGGGCUCAUAACCCGGAGGUCGGUGGUUCAAAUCCACCCCCCGCUACCA